rnacentral:lncRNA from 1 species
ACUUCCAUGUUAAUUUAUAUAAAAUAAUCAUUUUUUUCUAAAAGCUUAAAUUAUCAGAGAAAAUCAUUUUUAAUAUUGAUAUUCAACAGUCUCUCUUACGUCUGGGCUUAAGACUUUUUGACAUACAAAAAAUGUGGACUUGAAUUAUAUGAAAAAAAAAAAAGAAGAUAAUGCUCGGAGUCUGGCGAAACUCAAACUCAAAAUCUUCUCCGUCUAGAAAAUAAUAUUUUUUUAAUAUUUAUAUUCAACAUCAU